rnacentral:rRNA from 1 species
AUUGAACGCUGGCGGCAUGCUUUACACAUGCAAGUCGAACGGUAACAGGGUGCUUGCACCGCUGACGAGUGGCGAACGGGUGAGUAAUGCGUCGGAGCGUGCCGAGUAGUGGGGGAUAACGCAGCGAAAGUUGUGCUAAUACCGCAUACGUACUGAGGUAGAAAGUGGGGGACCUUCGGGCCUCACGCUAUUCGAGCGGCCGACGUCUGAUUAGCUAGUAGGUGAGGUAAAGGCUCACCUAGGCGACGAUCAGUAGCGGGUCUGAGAGGAUGAUCCGCCACACUGGGACUGAGACACGGCCCAGACUCCUACGGGAGGCAGCAGUGGGGAAUUUUGGACAAUGGGCGAAAGCCUGAUCCAGCCAUGCCGCGUGUCUGAAGAAGGCCUUCGGGUUGUAAAGGACUUUUGUCGGGGAGGAAAUCCCCAGCGCUAAUACCGCUGGGGGAUGACAGUACCUGAAGAAUAAGCACCGGCUAACUACGUGCCAGCAGCCGCAGUAACAC